rnacentral:rRNA from 1 species
UGCCAGCAGCCGCGGUAAUACGGAGGGUGCGAGCGUUAAUCGGAAUUACUGGGCGUAAAGCGCGCGUAGGUGGCCUGUUAAGCAGGAUGUGAAAUCCCCGAGCUCAACUUGGGAACUGCAUCCUGAACUGGCAGGCUAGAGUAUAGUAGAGGAUAGUGGAAUUUCUGGUGUAGCGGUGAAAUGCGUAGAUAUCAGAAGGAACAUCAGUGGCGAAGGCGACUGUCUGGACUAAUACUGACACUGAGGUGCGAAAGCGUGGGGAGCAAACAGGAUUAGAUA